GGCGCGUCCCCGCCGUUGCUGAGGGGACGGGGCGGAAGCGGCCGCUGCUCCGCGCGCCAUUUUCAAAGGUUUUCAGAGGCCGGGACGUCGCGGCCGCUCGGCAGCGGCUCGGGCUGGGAGCGCCUGGUUCCGGCGAAUCCUCAACAUCAAUGCAGAAAUACGAAGAUCUCAUUACUUUUAGCUUUAAUCUUUGGCUUCCAGAGGAGUACAAAGAGCAUUUACUACACAUCAGGAUAUUGACUUCCACUUAGUGCACUGACAGUUACCGUUUAGUGGACAGAAGUGUGCUGCUGCCUCCUCCAGCCAUCCCAAUACGGUGUCCAUUUUUCUUGACUGUGACAAAAGCUGCUGCUUUGGAGGUGUGUUUACAAUGAGUACAAAUGCAGAGCGAAGGUUCACUAAUCUCAGGAAACGUCUAGAUCAGCUGGGCUAUCGGCAACCAUUGGGAUUGGAGAGUUUGCCCUUGGUGGAAAAACUUUUUAGUGACUUAGUUCAUACAACUGAGAGCUUGCGCAGUGCAAAGUUAUCUGCUGGAAAAACUGAAAAAGAAUGCAGCAAUUAUGAUACCAUUUUGGAACCUUAUAAAACAGAAAAUGCUAAACUUACCAGGGAAAAUAAUGAACUGCAUUUAGAAAUAUUAAAACUGAAAGAGCAGUCUGAUCGUCAUGUUAAAGACUUGAAAGCCUCCCUAAGGAGGGCUGAACAUGGAACUUCUGACUUGAAAUUUCUGAAUAACCAAUAUAUACAUAAAAUUAAAAUGUUGGAAAAAGAGAACAAAGCCAAGACUGAAAAAAUUCAGCAGCUUCAGGAGAAGAAUCUGCAAGCAGUGGUGCAAACACCUGGAGGCAGAAAAAGAAGCAUUCCCUUCAGGCGUCAGCGCAUGCAGAUAGACCAGCUUGUGCCCCCAUCAGGUGUCAGUGCCUACCCAGUUCCUCAGCCAGAGGACCCUUAUAUUGCAGACCUUCUUCAAGUGGCUGAUAAUCGAAUUCAUGAACUUCAGUCAGAAGUGACAGAGCUACAAGAAAAACUGGAGGUAUCUGAAUGUGGAAUGAAAAAUUAUAGCAAACAAGUUGAGCUAAGAGACAAAGAAAUAGAGCGCCUGUUGCUGGCAUUGGAUGGUGGGCGUUCUCAUGAGGUUCUCUCUCUGGAAUCAAGAACUAAAAGUAAUGAGAAGCUUAUUGCCCACUUGAAUUUGCAGGUUGAGUAUCUUCAGCAGAGAAACAAAGAACUUGAAAAUCGCAUUCAAGAGCUCUUGGACACGAAACAAAAUGUGACUAGUGAGGUGGUGCAUUUAAGCAAUAAAAAUGAAGAACUGUGUCAAGAACUGAAUGAAAUAGAUCACUUGGCACAGCAGUUGGAAAGACACAAGGAAAUAGUGCUCGAGACUGCAGAUAAGGAAAUAGGAGAAGCAAAGAAAGAAAUUGAAAGAAAACACAGUGAAAUACAGGAUCUUCAAGAAACAAUAACAAAGCUUAAAUCAGAAUUGUGCUCAUGUCGUAGGGAGAACGAGAGACUGAAUGAAGAACUCUUUGGAAGAACAGGUGAUAAAGACAAUCUUGAGGUGUUGUUAAACCAACUUCAACAGGAGAAGCAAAGGCUGACAGAAAAAACAGAGAACUUAGAAAUAAAAGAACGAGAACUUGUCCUAGAAAUAGAAAGAAUGAGAGUAGAAUAUGGUAUAGCCCUAGGAGACAAAUCUCCAUCUCGUCUAGAUGCAUUUGUAAAGACUUUAGAAGAUGACAGAGAUUAUUAUAAGCGAGAAUUAGAAUAUCUUCAGAAAAUGAUAAGACGAAGGUCUAGCCCAAGCCGCAGGACUCCAGAGAAGGGUGAAGAGCUUAAAUUGAUCACUAGAGAAAGAGAUGAGCUACGGUCCAUGUUAGACAGAUUUGAAAAACACAUGAUAGAAAUUCAGUCCAAUGUCAGAUUAUUGACUGCAGAAAGAAAUAGAUUAAAUGUUCUUUAUGAGCAGUCUCAAAGUGAGUUGAACAGGAUGAGAAGAGAAGCAAAACAUAGUUUAGUUUCUCAAAGUCACGUGGAAGAAGAAAGAGACAUUGCACUGACCGACUUUAGAAGACUAAUGGCAGAAAAAGAAAGCCUCAGAGAAAAAUUAAAGAUUCAGCAAGAAGCAGCAAACCUUGAAAAAUCAAAGAUGCAACAUGAUAUUUCAGAACUGGAGAAUAACAUUCAAGGACUCGAGAUGGAAAGAUGUGAACUGAAGUCUACAAUCUCCAUCCUGAAAGAAAGAAUAAGCUAUUUGGAAGAUGAAUCGAAAUUGAAGUCCAGUAAACUUGCCCAGACUUCUGAUGAUUCUUCUCAGUUUAAAGCUGAGAUUUGCUCACUUCGGCUCUUAAAUGACCAGCUCCAGAGGUCUGUUGAAGAUUUACAGCAUCGCUUGUCCGUCAGGAAGGAUGAUCUACAGUCAGCUCAAGAAGAAAUUGUAAAGCUAAAGGAUAAAAUAGAUAGGUUAAACCAGAGGAGCACUUCACAGGAUGAAGCAGUCAAUGUGCUUAGAAAUACUAUUACUGUUUUGGAUAAAGAAAAGGACAGUCUUCAAGAAACCGUGGAUGAAAAAACAGAAAGAAUUGCAUGCUUAGAUGACAACUUAGCUAACAAGGAAAAAACAAUUACUCAUUUACGUCUAACUCUCUCUGAACUGGAGUCCUCAACAGACCACAUGAAGGACAUGCUGAGCAGCAGAGACCGUGAGAUAUCCAGCCUACAGCGCCAGCUUGAUACGUCCCAAGUAGAGCUUGCAGAAGUGGGAAGAGUAAAGGAAAUGGCUCUGAAAGAAAACAGACGAUUGCAAGAUGACCUAGCUACAAUGGCCAGAGAAAACCAAGCUAUCAGUACCGAGCUUGAAGAUGCAAUACGUGAAAAAGAAGAAAUGAAAACCAGGGUUCAUAAUUAUAUAACUGAAGUUUCCAGAUUUGAGACCUUGAUAGCUUCAAAGGAACAAGAAAACCAAGAAUUGUUAGCAAAAUUCCAGAUGCUCCAUACACAAGCUGAAGACUGGGAAAUGAAGGCUCAUCAGGCUGAAGGAGAAAGCAGCUCAAUACGACUGGAACUCCUUUCAGUAGAUACAGAUCGGAGACAUCUUCGAGAGAGAGUAGACCUUCUGGAAAAAGAGAUUCAAGGGCAUAUUGUUGCACAUCAAGUAUAUGAAUCUCAGAUCUCCUCCAUUACGAAAAAUAUGUCCAAAUUGGAAGAGGAUCUUAAACGUGAAAAUCAGGAUAAGGCUGCUCUGUUAGCAGACCUGACUUCUGUGAGGGAACUCUGUGUGAAACUUGAGUCUGGCAAAGAACAUUUGUCUCGACAACUGACAUCCAAAAGCAUGGAUUAUGAAAGGGUUCUAGGAGAAUUAGAAGAUAUAAAAUCAGAAGUAGAGUUGCUGAAAAAGCAGUUAUCCAGUGAGAGACUUACAGUUCAGAAUCUUGAAACAUUACUGGCUACUAGUAGAGACAAAGAAUUUCAGAACCAAUUAACAUCCCAAGAGAAAGAUACCGAAAUUCAGUUACUGAAAGACAAGCUAACACUUGCUGAGAGCAAACUCAUAUGCCUGUCUCUGAAGGACUUAGAAUAAAAUAUCAUCGAGAUCUCUUGUCUUCUGCAUCUGUUCUCAACAUACUGGAUCAAGAUACCAUUCUAGGAAUUUUACCGAUGAAUAGGGACUGUGGGAAAAAAUGUUCUGCAGUUCUUUUUGGAACAAAUCUCUUAAGUAGUUUGCAUCUUCCUGGAGUCAAAGACCAGCGGGUGCCAGACAGGAAGCCUGUGACUGACCUAGGAUUGGAACUUGUUUUUCAGAAUUCCGGUCCAGUGCUUUAGCAAUAGACAAGUACAACUUUGCUUCUCCAGAAGUGACUUUUGAGCACUCCACCUCAUACUGGCUUUGAAGACUGUAUGGAAUAACACAGAUUCUCAUUUAGAACAACUUAUGUCUAGAUUCUCAUUUAGACAACUUAUUUUACACUCAAUAUUUUUUUUUCUUCCUUUAUAAAGAAUUAAUAGUAUUUUGCAAUCAAGCAUUGAGUUGGUCAAGCUGAUGAUUUACUAAGAAGUACAUUCAAUUAUGUUAGUUAAGAUUUUCAAGGUUGCUUUUCAUUUUGAUUCUUGCAGUUGAAACAGUUGGGCCCAAACAACAAGGUUAGAGUUGACAAACCUUGAGACUCUGGGUUGUGCUGGUCUGGUGUUUGCAUUAGUACAUUUUUUACAUAGAUUUGAUUCAGUAGUUUUCAUUGCUAGCCAGAUAGUUCCAGGCUACUUGAUAUAAUUUUUACUGUUAUGUUGGUAUUUUUUGUGGAUUCUUACUGCUUUUUUCUUCCCUUUUUUUUAAAUGUACACAUAAAGACUAUCUCACAUUGCAAAAGAGGGUAGUAAAUCAAUAAAUUAAUGUUUGAAUUGGUUUGUCUGUUUUUGUAAAACAUGUCUGUGUAUACCUUUGUCUGAAAAAGAACACAAUGUAGUUAAGAUAUAGUGAGAGCUUCUCACUUCAUUCUCACCUUACUUCUUCUGGAAACACUGUGUUGCAUGCACUUGGUUCUUACUUUCUUGCUUCUAAUUUGUCUUUGAUUUGGUCUGUGUGAAGGAACGUGUUUAGUAUCUGGUUUUGUUUUAUCUUGCUCUAAAUUAUCUUAGCUCCUAGCUGAUGGUGUUCAAAGAAAACUUUGUUGCUUUUCAUGAUUUUUUUUUUUUUUAGAAGCAGCCAUAAUAGAGAGGUUUCCUUACUUCGAAGUAAAGCUGCACAGCUGCAGACUGACUGCGAUGUUUUAAAAAGGCAACUGACAACUGAGCGGUUUGAACGAGAACGUGCAAUUCAGGAAAUGCGCCGACAUGGUCU